UUGAGCGCCAUGUGUGGCAUAUUUUGGAAGGUAUCAAAGUUCAUGCCAAAAAGGGUACUAUUGGAUAUGUACCAUGCAUUCAUUCAAUCAAAACUACAAUACCUGGUAUCGAUUUGGGGUGCCGCGACCAAAACUGCAUUGAAACCGUUGCAAACGAUUCAGAAUCGUUGUCUGAAAAUAAUAUACCAACGCCCCUGGCUUUUCCCAACCGUGUUGUUAUACAACGGAGCAGCGGAAUCAAUCUUGCCAAUCCCGGCCCUCCGUGAAAAGGAGUGUCUGGUAAAAAUGCACAAUAUGUUAACAAACCCACGUGCCUUACACAAUCAACCGCUACAUAGAACGUCAAGCCGAUACCCUCUGAGAAGCCAAGCAGUUCUAACGAUCAACCGUCCUAAUACGGAAGCUGGAAAAAAAUCUUUCUUGUAUUUUGGAAGUUCUCGAUACAAUGCUCUCCCUUCUCAUUUAAAAGCCGAGAGGAAUAUGGGAAACUUCAAGAAGCGGAUUGCAUCACUGAUAAAAGGAAGAAUCAUAACAUACAUAGGUUGACCACCAACCACUUUAUUGUCUCAUCAUCAAUAUUCCGUCAUAUCGCUGCCAACUGAACAUGGGGUCAGUUAUCAUCCAGUCCGUCUUCCAGUCUGUCUUGCCACCUCCGCAUCCAACAAUCACAUCACUCGGUUCGCGGCCGUUCAAGUAUCGGGCCUCGAACAUCACCGAACAUGGUGACUCGGUCAGCUGGUAGCAUCAGUUAUCUUCCAGUCCUGCCACCCUUGCAUCCAACAACCGCAACACUCGAUUCGCGGCCGUUCAAGUUUCGAACAUCACCGAUUCCUGCGAUUUUCCGUACCUGGUGACUCGGUCAGCUAGUAGCGUCAGUUAUCUUCCAGCCCUGCCACCUUUGCAUCCAACAACCGCAACACACGACUCGCGGCCGUUCAAGUUUCGGGCCUCGAACAUCACCGAUCAGCGAUUCCUGCGAUUUCCCGUACCUGGUGACUCGGUCAGCUAGUUGCGUCAGUUAUCUUCCAGGUAACAUGAUUAGUAUACGUCUGGCCGAAGCCAGUGAUACUGCCCUCGUUCAAGUCCGUCGAAAAUUACAGCCCUGCCACCCCUGCAUCCAACAACCGCAACACUCGAUUCGCGGCCGUUCAAGUUUUGAACAUCACCGAUUCCUGCGAUUUACCGUGCCUGGUGACUCGGUCAGCUAGUAGCGUCAGUUAUCUUCCAGGUAACAUGAUUAGUAUACGUCUGGCCGAAGCCAGUGAUACUGCCCUCGUUCAAGUCCGUCGACAAUUACAGCCACCUUUGCAUCCAACAACCGCAACACACGACUCGCGGCCGUUCAAGAUUCGGGCCUCGAACAUCACCGAUCAGCGAUUCCUGCGACUUCCCGUACCUGGUGACUCGGUCAGCUAGUAGCCUCAGUUAUCUUCCAGCCCUGCCACCUUUGCAUCCAACAACCGCAACACACGACUCGCGGCCGUUCAAGUUUCGGGCCUCGAACAUCACCGAUCAGCGAUUCCUGCGAUUUCCCGUACCUGGUGACUCGGUCAGCUAGUUGCGUCAGUUAUCUUCCAGGUAACAUGAUUAGUAUACGUCUGGCCGAAGCCAGUGAUACUGCCCUCGUUCAAGUCCGUCGACAAUUACAGCCCUGCCACCUUUGAAUCCAACAACCGCAACACACGACUCGCGGCCGUUCAAGAUUCGGGCCUCGAACAUCACCGAUCAGCGAUUCCUGCGACUUCCCGUACCUGGUGACUCGGUCAGCUAGUAGCCUCAGUUAUCUUCCAGUCCGUCGAAAAUUACAGCCCUGCCACCUUUGCAUCCAACAAUCGCAACACACGACUCGCGGCCGUUCAAGUUUCGGGCCUCGAACGUCACCGAUCAGCGAUUCCUGCGACUUCCCGUACCUGGUGACUCGGUCAGCUAGUAGCGUCAGUUAUCUUCCAGGUAACAUGAUUAGUAUACGUCUGGCCGAAGCCAGUGAUACUGCCCUCGUUCAAGUCCGUCGAAAAUUACAGCCCUGCCACCUUUGCAUCCAACAACCGCAACACACGACUCGCGGCCGUUCAAGUUUCGGGCCUCGAACAUCACCGAUCAGCGAUUCCUGCGACUUCCCGUACCUGGUGACUCGGUCAGCUAGUAGCCUCAGUUAUCUUCCAGUCCUGCCACCCCUGCAUCCAACAACCGCAACACUCGAUUCGCGGCCGUUCAAGUUUUGAACAUCACCGAUUCCUGCGACUUCCCGUACCUGGUGACUCGGUCAGCUGGUAGCAUCAGUUAUCUUCCAGGUAACAUGAUUAGUAUAUGUCUGGCCGAAGCCAGUGAUACUGCGCCCGUUUAAGUUCGUUUACAAUUACAGCCCUCCCACCUUCUGUCUACACCAACCCCAUCAUUCAAAUGUUUCGAGGUCCUGGAUAACGAGCGCGAUAAAUCCGUGCUACCAAAUCAGCUAACAUCAACAGCAUUCCGUCACAUUGUUACCAGUUGUUACUGAGGCUUUAUUGGAACUGAUGUCCUGGUCUGCGUCUGGUCAACGUUUCUACGACAAUUUCAUUGUGACUGCGCCGUGGCUUCCUGUAUACAAAGUUUUUCCGAUGUAAUGCUAAGCUGCCGCUAUUGAUCUAGGAAUGCUUACUAACCAAAUCCAUGAUGAAUUAAAGCGAUUAUUGUACGUGAUAUACUAAUAUUAGCCAAUAAGUUGUAAAUUUUCUGUUAAUUAAUUUAAUUACACUUCCUUUAAAGAGAAUAACUUCUCACUGGAAGUGUAAAUACUUUGUACUUUUUUGAAAUAUAUGAAAAGAAGAGUA